GACGAACGCUGGCGGCGUGCCUAAUACAUGCAAGUAGAACGCUGAAGGAGGAGCUUGCUUCUCUGGAUGAGUUGCGAACGGGUGAGUAACGCGUAGGUAACCUGCCUGGUAGCGGGGGAUAACUAUUGGAAACGAUAGCUAAUACCGCAUAAUAGUAGAUGUUGCAUGACAUUUGCUUAAAAGGUGCAAUUGCAUCACUACCAGAUGGACCUGCGUUGUAUUAGCUAGUUGGUGAGGUAACGGCUCACCAAGGCGACGAUACAUAGCCGACCUGAGAGGGUGAUCGGCCACACUGGGACUGAGACACGGCCCAGACUCCUACGGGAGGCAGCAGUAGGGAAUCUUCGGCAAUGGACGGAAGUCUGACCGAGCAACGCCGCGUGAGUGAAGAAGGUUUUCGGAUCGUAAAGCUCUGUUGUAAGAGAAGAACGAGGGUGAGAGUGGAAAGUUCACACUGUGACGGUAUCUUACCAGAAAGGGACGGCUAACUACGUG
rnacentral:rRNA from 1 species